AGGCCUGAGGGUUAUAAAAGCACUUCAGCAGAGGAAAGGUAAGGGCGUAAAUGCACCAUUGCAUUGAGCGGUUACUUGCAAGAAGAAGCCUCCCGGCUAACUUCCUUGCCAGCAGCCGCGGUUAAUUCCGGGGGGUGCCAAGCCUUUAAUUCGGAAUUACCUGGGCGGUUAAGGCGCACGCCAGGCGGUUUGUUUAAGUUCAGAUUUGAAAUCCCCCGCGCCUUAACGUGGGAACUGCAUUGGAAACUGGCAAGCUAGAGUUCUUGUAGAAGGGGGGUAGAAUUCCCAGGUGUAGCGGUGAAAUGCGUAGAAGAUCUGGAGGAAUACCGGUGGGCGAAGGCGGCCUCCUGGACAAAGACUGACGCUCAGGUGCGAAAGCGUGGGGAGCAAACAGGAUUAGAUACCCUGGUAGUCCACGCUGUAAACGAUGUCGAUUUGGAGGUUGUGCCCUUGAGGCGUGGCUUCCGGAGCUAACGCGUUAAAUCGUCCGCCUGGGGAGUACGGCCGCAAGGUUAAAACUCAAAUGAAUUGACGGGGGCCCGCACAAGCGGUGGAGCAUGUGGUUUAAUUCGAUGCAACGCGAAGAACCUUACCUACUCUUGACAUCCAGAGAACUUUCCAGAGAUGGAUUGGUGCCUUCGGGAACUCUGAGACAGGUGCUGCAUGGCUGUCGUCAGCUCGUGUUGUGAAAUGUUGGGUUAAGUCCCGCAACGAGCGCAACCCUUAUCCUUUGUUGCCAGCGAUUCGGUCGGGAACUCAAAGGAGACUGCCGGUGAUAAACCGGAGGAAGGUGGGGAUGACGUCAAGUCAUCAUGGCCCUUACGAGUAGGGCUACACACGUGCUACAAUGGCGUAUACAAAGAGAAGCGAACUCGCGAGAGCAAGCGGUCCUCAUAAAGUACGUCGUAGUCCGGAUUGGAGUCUGCAACUCGACUCCAUGAAGUCGGAAUCGCUUGUAAUCGUAGAUCAGAAUGCUACGGUGAAUACGUUCCCGGGCCUUGUACACACCGCCCGUCACCCCAUGGGAUGUGGGUUGCA
rnacentral:rRNA from 1 species